UCCGAAGGGGGCUAGCGUUGCUCGGAAUCACUGGGCGUAAAGCGCACGUAGGCGGAUCGUUAAGUCAGGGGUGAAAUCCUGGAGCUCAACUCCAGAACUGCCUUUGAUACUGGCGAUCUUGAGUUCGGGAGAGGUGAGUGGAACUGCGAGUGUAGAGGUGAAAUUCGUAGAUAUUCGCAAGAACACCAGUGGCGAAGGCGGCUCACUGGCCCGAUACUGACGCUGAGGUGCGAAAGCGUGGGGAGCAAACAGG
rnacentral:rRNA from 1 species